rnacentral:lncRNA from 1 species
AGGAAGAGGAGGAAGAAAAGGAGAACGAAUAUGAAGGCGAGGAAGAGGAGGAAGAAGGUGAGGAGGAAGAGGAGGAAGUAGAAUGAGGAAAAGGAGGACGAGAAGGAAAAGGAGAGUGAGGAAGAGGAGGAAAGUGGAGAAGAGGAAGAAAAUGAGGAAGAGGACGGUGAGGACAAGGAGGAGGGAGGAAAUGAGGACGAGGAAGGUGAGGAAGAGGAAGAAGAGGAAGAGGAGGAGGAAGAAGAAAAUGAAGAGGAAAGAAGGGAAGGUGAAGAAGAAGAGGGUGAGGAGGAAGUAAAGAAAGAAAAGGGAAGAAGAGGAGGAGGAGGAUGGGGAUGAAGAUGAGGAUGGUGGUGAGGAGGAAGAUGAUGAGGAUGAUGAAGAUAAGGAUAAGGAUGAUGAUGAUGAGGAUGAUGAGGGAUGAUGAGGAUGACGAUGAGAAGGAGGAUGAGGGAUGAUGAGGAUGAGGAUGAUGAUGAAGGUGAGGCCGAAGAUGAGGACGAUGAUGAGGAUGAUGAUGAUGAUGAAAGCGAGGAUGGGGAUGAAGAUGAUGAAAAUGAGGACGAAAACAAUGACAAAUGCGAGCCCAAAGGUGGCGAUGAGGAGGAAGAUGAGGAUGAGGAGGAUGAGGAUGAGGAAGAGGAGGAGGAUGAAGGCGAGGCCGAAGCUGAGGAUGAUGAUGACGAUGAUGAUGAAAGCGAGGAUGAGGAUGAAGAUGAUGAAAAUGAGGACCAAAACAACAAACGCGAGGCCAAAGGCGACGAUGAGGAGGAAGAUGAAGAUGAGGAGGAUGAGGAUGGGGAUGAGGAUGAAGGUGAGGCCGAAGAUGUGGAUGAUGAUGACAAUGAUGAUGAUGAAAGCGAGGAUGGGGAUGAAGAUGAUGAAAAUGAGGACAAAAACGACGACGAACGCGAGGCCAAAGGUGACGAUGAGGAGGAAGAUGAAGAUGAAGACGAGGAUGAGGAGGAGGAAGAGGAGGAGGAGAAGGAUGAAGAUGAGGAAAGCGAGGCCGAAGAUAUGGAUGAUGAUGAUGACGAUGAUGAUGAAAGCGAGGAUGGGGAUGAAAAUGAUGAAAACGAGGACCAAAACGACAACGAACGCGAGGCCAAAAGUGACGAUGAAGAGGAAGAUGAAGAUGAAGACGAGGAUGAGGAUGAGGAAGAGGAGGAGGAGAAGGAUGAAGAUGAGGAAAGCGAGGCCGAAGCUGAGGAUGAUGAUGAUGACGAUGAUGACGAAAGCGAGGAUGUGGAUGAAAAUGAUGAAAACGAGGACCAAAACAACAACAAACGCGAGGCCAAAGGCGACGAUGAAGAGGAAGAUGAAGACGAGGAUGAGGAAGGCGAGGCCGAAGCUCACCGUGGCCGCGGGGGCCGCCCCCCCCCCUAUUGAUGCUGACGGGGGCGGCGCCGGGCCGGGUUCGAUGGAAGUGAUGAACGGGGGCGGCGCCUCGAGCGCGGUGUGAAGCCGACAGAGAGGAGGAAACUCGAGCCCCCCCCGCGCCCCCCCCCAGCAGCAGCCCCAGAGCCAGCAGGACCCGCAGCGCCAUCUCAGAGCCCCAUGGG